AGAACGAACGCUGGCGGCAGGCCUCAAACAUGCAAGUCUAGGGGGGUAGCAAUACCCACCGGCGGACGGGUGCGUAACACGUGGGAAUAUACCUUUCGGUACGGAACAACUGCGGGAAACUGCAGCUAAUACCGUAUACGUCCUAACGGAGAAAGAUUUAUCGCCGAAGGAUUAGCCCGCGUCCGAUUAGCUAGUUGGUGAGGUAAUGGCUCACCAAGGCUCCGAUCGGUAGCUGUUCUGAGAGGAAGAUCAGCCACACUGGGACUGAGACACGGCCCAGACUCCUACGGGAGGCAGCAGUUGGGAAUCUUGGACAAUGGGGAAACCCUGAUCCAGCCAUGCCGCGUGAGUGAUGAAGGCCUUCGGGUUGUAAAACUCUUUCGACGGGGACGAUAAUGACGGUACCCGUAGAAGAAGCUCCGGCUAACUUCGCGCCAGCAGCCGC
rnacentral:rRNA from 1 species